AGAAAAUAAAGGAUCCCGUAUUCUCCUCCUUCGUGGUUAUCAACAAUGAAACUGUCUCAUUAACUUCCCCCACUUUUUUUUUUUUUUUUAAGAUUCAGACGUUAAACUCAACUCAUGACAGAAGUCACUUCAAUUUCUUCAAGAUCUCUAAUUUUUUAUUUUUUUUGAGGAAGCCUAUACCGAAACAAUUUUUGAAUCCAUCGACAGAGAGUGGGAGAUCGAGUAGGACAUUAAAUAUACUUCCAGAGGUUUAAAUCAUUGAAUGGAUUGGAGAACUGAUUUUUGUAGAAACACAGAGAACCGAUUGGAACUAUUUCUUCUGAGAAUUCAGAAGAGUCACUUUUGAUAUACCCGGAAACUAUUGGUGAUUAAGCAUUUCUUAUUUUGGGGUGGCUACGCAUCGUACAACACCUAAUCAAGUCGAAUAGGUCAACUGUAUAGUUGGUGCAAGAUAACUCUUGUGUAUCCUUACAGAGCACCAUCAGUUAAAUGCUAUCAUUUGUCAGUAUGUUACGAAUACAUGGAUGAGUGCGCCAACAAAAUGUAGUAAUUAAUGGCCAAGCCAAAAGGCCCAAUUGGUCCUCAACCAUGCACAAAACUCUAUAGUAGUGGAUAAUAAUGAAAAGAAGGAUGCAACUGAGAACAAGGUAUCUUACACAUUUUAUUUUGUUCUUUUAGGUUUCUCAAGGUUCCUGCUCUGUGUUUGUGCGUACUCUGAUAAUCACGCAUUUUUGAUGGAAACAUAAAUCUGACCACUAUAAUGUGAAGUGAUUGUCAUAUGGAAACAUAAAAUCAACCACUUCAAGGGACUUGGGAAUGGAAAUGAUGGAAAAAAUUAUGCAAGUUUUUCUGCAUGUUGUAUCCCUAGUCUGCUAUUGAAUAAGGAUCCACCCAAACAUGUAUUUCACAUUGUUACCAAGAGGCGUAAUUGUUCUGCAAUGAGGAUGUGGUUUCUUGCUAAUUCAAGCCAAGCUUCUGUCCAAGUUAAGAACAUUGAAGAAUUUACUUGGCUGAACGCGAGUUAUUGUCCAGUUUUGGAGCAGCUCUUAUUCUCCUUCCACGAUAGAUUAUUACUUCUUUGUUGUUUUGAACUUGAUAAUGAAGUGUGUAGCUUUUGUUGUUGAACAUGAGGAUAUUUGUUUGGGUUGUCAUUUGAUUAAUAAAAUGGGUUAUCCUUGUUAAUAAAAAUCUACAUUUUGACUUCGGUUCA